CACGUAGGGUGCGAGCGUUGUCCGGAAUUAUUGGGCGUAAAGAGCUCGUAGGCGGUGUGUCGCGUCGGCCGUGAAACCUGCAGCUUAACUGUGGGCUUGCGGUCGAUACGGGCAUCACUGGAGUUCGGCAGGGAGACUGGAAUUCCUGGUGUAGCGGUGAAAUGCGCAGAUAUCAGGAGGAACACCGGUGGCGAAGGCGGGUCUCUGGGCCGAUACUGACGCUGAGGAGCGAAAGCGUGGGGAGCGAACAGG
rnacentral:rRNA from 1 species